GACGAACGCUGGCGGCGUGCUUAACACAUGCAAGUCGAACGGAAAGGCCCUGCUUUUGUGGGGUGCUCGAGUGACGAACGGGUGAGUAACACGUGAGUAACCUGCCCUUGACUUUGGGAUAACUUCAGGAAACUGGGGCUAAUACCGGAUAGGAGCUCCUGCUGCAUGGUGGGGGUUGGAAAGUUUCGGCGGUUGGGGAUGGACUCGCGGCUUAUCAGCUUGUUGGUGGGGUAGUGGCUUACCAAGGCUUUGACGGGUAGCCGGCCUGAGAGGGUGACCGGCCACAUUGGGACUGAGAUACGGCCCAGACUCCUACGGGAGGCAGCAGAGGGGAAUAUUGCACAAUGGGCGGAAGCCUGAUGCAGCAACGCCGCGUGCGGGAUGACGGCCUUCGGGUUGUAAACCGCUUUCGCCUGUGACGAAGCGUGAGUGACGGUAAUGGGUAAAGAAGCACCGGCUAACUACGUG
rnacentral:rRNA from 1 species